rnacentral:rRNA from 1 species
AACGUUGGCGGUGCGCCUAAUACAUGCAAGUCGAGCGAGAAAGUCCAAACCCGCAAGGGGGAGGGCGAGUACAGCGGCGAACUGGUGGGUAACACGUGAUCAACCUACCUAUGAGACUGGGACAACCUGUCGAAAGACGGGCUAAUACCGGAUAAGACCACAGGAUCUUCGGAUCCAGAGGUAAAAGUUGGCCUCUGCAUGCAAGCUAACAUUUAUAGAUGGGCCUGCGUACCAUUAGCUAGUUGGUAGGGUAACGGCCUACCAAGGCGACGAUGGUUAGCUGAUCUGAGAGGAUGAUCAGCCACACUGGAACUGAAACACGGUCCAGACUCCUACGGGAGGCAGCAGUGGGAAUAUUGCGCAAUGGGCGAAAGCCUGACGCAGCAACGCCGCGUGAGUGAUGAAGGCCUUCGGGUCGUAAAGCUCUGUCGGAGGGAACGAAACCUUUUGGGGUGAACAAUCCCAAGACUUGACGGUACCCUCAAAGGAAGCACCGGCUAACCACGUGCCAGCAGCCGCCGUAAGAC